UGAAUGAAAGUAUAAUAAUCAAAUUUAUGAAUUGAUAAAAUCAAUAAAAUUAAUUUAAAUUAAUUAAAUUAGGCCAUAAAAUAAUACAAGGAGAGAGAACAAAAUAAAGAUCGAGAGAAAGAGAGGUUGGGUGAGAAAUAGGAAGCAUAUAUGUGUCCUAUAGUCAUGCAAACACAUAGUCAAUUUAUUAAAGGGGGUUCAGAUGAAGAAUCCUAAGAAUUUG
rnacentral:lncRNA from 1 species